rnacentral:lncRNA from 1 species
AGCCCACAGGGGACAUCCCGGGGGAACCCCUGCCUGCCACCCUGAGGUACUUGAUAUGGUUUGGACAGUGUGCCCCCGUCAUGUGGGGCCAAUGAGGUAGGCUUGGGAGGGCGAGCAUGGCAGCAGCGCACCUGGCUCAGCAGAGAGAGUUGGUAAGCAGAUGGAGGGGACAUGCUAGGGGGAGACCAGCUCUCCCAGAAACCAUCAAAAAGCCAAAAACAGGUCAAACUGUGGGCACGGGCUGCUGGAUAAACAGUAUCCUCUCUACCACUCCCCUCACCAAGCCAAGGCCCCCACCUCUCCUUUUCCUCGCCUCCCUAGAAGAGAAUUCUGCCUAAGCACUUGUGCUCCUCCUUGGAGGACCAGAGCAGC